rnacentral:misc_RNA from 1 species
GAUCGGGGCGCAAGUGUGCGCUGGGUCGGUAGCUUGUGGUUGGAGGUCUCAAGCAGUGAAAAGUGCAAGUGUUUAAAUCCGCUGGCCGCGUGAGUCUUCCUUGUGUGUGAGUGUUUCAUAACGGCGGCAUGCCGCCGCGUCGCAAGGCAGCUGUUGACGCUGAAGAGAAGAAACGCAAACGAGCCGAGGCUGCGCGCGCUCGACGGGCCAGUGAAAGUGCCGACGCGCGCGCGGCUCGUCUCGCCAAAGCACGCGCCAGCCACGCCAAGAAGACAGGUGAAGCUCGCGAAGCCCGGCUCGCCCAAAUGCGUGCAUAUCGUGCACGCCAGGAGCGGCGGGACGUCCCGCAACGUUUGGACGCCCUGGAGCGGAACAGAGUCGCCCAACACAGACGCGUGGCUGCCGAGACUUCGGAGAAAUACAACGAGCGUCUCCUGCGUUGCAGGACGGCUAAGCAGAUCCGAUGGGCUUCGAUGAGCGAAGAAGAACGGCAAGCGGAAUUGGCUCACCGCAGAGAACUUCAAAGGACUCGGUACCUUCUGAUGCCGGCGAGGGAACGUGCACACUUGCUUGAUCGCAUGAGAGCGGCGGCUCGCGCUCGCCGAGCUGCAGCGACCAGCAAUGCAGAUCCUGCUGCACCGAGAACCGCACGGUGUGUCGUGCCAGUCUGCCACUCACGGUCAGCACCCAGCUCCAUCCUGUACCCCUUGCCUGCUGAGCCGUCCCAGCGCCAGGCUUGGAUUGACUUUGUGCGUGGGUGCCCCUGUGGUGAUGCCUGUGACUGGAACCCACCAACCAAUGAGAUCAGUUUCGUGUGCUCACUGCACUUCACAGUGCGCUGCUUCCGGUUUCAGCGACCACGUGGUGGCAGUGCGGGCUAUAGGAAGCGUCUAAAAAGGGGCGCAGUGCCAACGCUGUACCCGAUUGAAGAGCAGUGCAGUUCAACAGCCAAUAAGAAUUCCCUUGACAACACUGCAGAACGCUUGGCUUCCUCUGCCGUCGAAGAUGCAGAAAGGAGGACACGCAAUUCAUUGGCUUCCAGCCAGUCAGUUACAGCACGAGAUAAAGGACACCGUGCAAGUGACCAGAGCGCAGUGCGGAGGUUGUCACGUCUUGCAGCAGUCGAACUCAUCUUCCCCAGGGACAUCUCCACCCAGUGUAGCGUGGAAAUGGCCUCAAAGGCUGCCAGCUGUGUUGUCAGGACUCUGUCCAAGUCAGUGCAGUGCAGUGGGUGAAUGGCGUUCCUCUUCAGAGAUACUUCGAACGGAGAGCAGAUCUCAGCCGUGUGUGUGUGCGCCACGCCAUUACAACAGACCCAAGUGCCUAAGUGACUGUGCAGUUCUGUUGCUGUGAGAACCAAGGUUGCAGGUUUGAUUUCUGGCCGUGACCACUGCAGUCUACUGGGGAGCACAAAGCAAGAAUGCUGUUUCAUCAUGUUGUCUUCGCAGGCAAUAAACCAAGUGAUUGAAUGUUUCUUGAGAA